AUCCUGUCCUUAACAUUUGAUUUUAUAUUUUGUUUUUUGUUUUGAAUACUUGAAUUUAAUUGUACCAUUGAAUUAUAAUUGAAUUAAAUUGUUAAAUUGUACUUCCCAACUCUGAUUGUAAUAGAAUGCUAAAAGGCAUGUCAGUUUGUACUAAAGGAAUGAUAUGGAAUUAGAACAUUCCUGACUACAUGCCCUUUUUAGAAACUUACCAUAAAACACUUGGUCAUCAGCGUUCGAUCGGUAAGGUUUGAAGAUUCUAACUCCUCUUUUCAUCUCUUUCCCUAGCGUAACAUCUACCUAACCCACUAACCCUAUUUAAAUAAACUUACAUAUUAUAACGUUUUACUGAAACCAAACUUGUGUUUUGCUUUUUACUCCUUUGCGGUGUUGCUGUGGGUAUUCUAUUUCUUUGCUUGUUAUUCCCCAACUCUGAGGAAUAACAAGCUGCUACAUACAGUCCACUCAUCUACGACCUUCGCUUUACAUCAUAUAUUUGGAAUCCCCCCCCCCCCCAAAGCUAGUCAUGGUCCUUCGAGCCGUUCACUGGAAACUGCAAGAAAAACUCACACACACAACAGAAGGUAAAACCAAACCAAAAUCCCAAAGUUCCCAUGUUAGUUGUGUGAAGCACCGAAAAUUCAAGAAAAAGUGCAAAGUGCAAAGUGCAAAAUUUUUUCGGUUGAAAGGGUGUUUGAAAAAUCCAUAAUUUUUGCUAUAACGGUAAAAAAAAAACGGUGAAAAUAACGGUCGAACACGUGCCCAAAAAUCCGAAAGAAUCGUCUUAUAUACAUAUAGAUACAAAUACAUAAGGUGCACUUAUGUACAGGAAAGGCAAUAAAGAAGAAGAAACCCAGUCUGUAAUCCAAAUAGAUAGAAGAAGAAAAGCCCAUGUAAAAAAAAGAACCGUUUUUGUUUAAAAGAAAUUCGAAAAAAAAAGGAGAAAAUAAAAUUUUUUUUUUCGUUGUGCAUGGAGGCUAAUAUAAUACAACAAAAAGAAAAAAAAAUGGGCUCAAAGCAAAUGAAUCUCAACAAGAUUUAUGAGUGCGCCAUCUGUUUGGAGAGGCACUCGCUCCGCUACUGCCGAAUCUUCUGCGGCAUGACGGUGGCAGAUAGGAGGGUGACCGUCCGUAACCACAAAUAUUGUAUGAACUGCCUGGCCCGGAGUCACGAGGUGGAGGACUGCCACUCAGCCGCCACCUGUCGAAAAUGCGGCUACCAGCACCAUACGAUGCUGCACCCACAAAUUCCGGUGCCUCCUACCGCCCUCACACCAGCAUAUGUAAGCCCCAAAGUUGCCAAC